CUCUUUACAGGUUUAGAUGAAACUACUCCAACGGCUUUAAAAUUAGAGAUAAUCGUUGCGAUAACCUGCGGAUGCCUGAUUUUCGUUGUGGGAGUAGUCGUUGUUGCCGUACGUUUCUGGAGGCGGAUAAAAGCUUCAAAAGUGAAAAAUAUGGACGAGAAUAUAUACCAAGACCCAAUAGAUGCUGUUGAUCWKGAACGAGAAGGAUCGUUGUCCCUUGCAAGAACCACAUCUACCAAUGAUGAUUAUGCAACAGUUGAAGAAUGUGGUGUUCCCAAAUCAUUGAGUCAUGUUGAAACCAACGUGCACUCUACAGGAGAAGAACCACUGUAUGAGCGAUUGGUGCCUCCUGAGAUAUGACAUUGCUGAUACAGGAUGGCAAGGAAUAGUCCCCUUGCUAUAACACGAAAUCUAACCCUAUCCAUGCUAAAUCUUGAACAUGUAUCAAAUUUACUAGAACACGGCCAGAAAGGAAAAGAGCACUUACAUAUUAGUGAAAAGGCGAAGUUUCAGCGCAAAACUUUCGACACGGGAAAAUGAUAUUUAAUAUAAUUUUAAGGCAUCAAAAAAAUUGCACUCGAUUUUAUGUUUUCAUAAGCUAUUCAUCGUAUAGUCAAUGAACCCUUCUCAAAAACACACCCAAACACACCACACACAAAACAAACUUGGAUGCGAAGCUAAUACUAAAAUAUAAACAAACUUUCACUUUUACUCGAUGGCAUUUGCAGUAUUUCUUUGGUAUUUCGAAUUUUAUUCUAUUGCCUCGAAUUGAAGACAAUUUUGAAAGCUCCCUAUCAUGCGCUGAAACUCCGCAUUAUUAUCGAGGUCCCUUUUUGUUUUUGGUGUUCAUUUUGACACAGCUGCUCGUCAUUGCGGGAGGAAGUGUCUCGCCCCAUGUAAGGGAAUCCGGACUUAUGGUGGAUUCCGGAUUCCAAGCGCUGGAUUACGGACCGAGACUCUAGAUUCCGGAUUCCAAAGCCUAAAAUUUCGUGGAUUCCGGAUUCCGGAUUCCGGAUUCCUGUUAGUGCAGAUAGCCUAUUUAAGCAAUGAAAAGAAAAAGAAAAAGAGGAAAAUACAUGCAGUUAGUAUGGUUGUAGUUUUAUUAACAGCGUAGUAAAAUGAACUUAAACUAGAGUUUAUUGCCACAGAAAUAAAUGAAUACAAAUAAUGA